rnacentral:rRNA from 1 species
GACGAACCGAGCGAACGUUAUUCGGAAUCACUGGGCUUAAAGGGCGCGUAGGCGGGCCGUCAAGUCAGGGGUGAAAGCCUCCAGCUCAACUGGAGAAGUGCCUCUGAUACUGGCGGCCUCGAGGGAGGUAGGGGCGUGCGGAACUUCCGGUGGAGCGGUGAAAUGCGUAGAUAUCGGAAGGAACACCAGUGGCGAAGGCGGAUCUCUGGACAGUUACUGACACUGAGGCACGAAGGCCAGGGGAGCAAACGGGG